AAAUUGAAGAGUUUGAUCAUGGCUCAGAUUGAACGCUGGCGGCAGGCCUAACACAUGCAAGUCGAGCGGUAGCACAGAGAGCUUGCUCUCGGGUGACGAGCGGCGGACGGGUGAGUAAUGUCUGGGAAACUGCCUGAUGGAGGGGGAUAACUACUGGAAACGGUAGCUAAUACNGNNNNNNNNNGCAAGACCAAAGUGGGGGACCUUCGGGCCUCAUGCCAUCAGAUGUGCCCAGAUGGGAUUAGCUAGUAGGUGGGGUAACGGCUCACCUAGGCGACGAUCCCUAGCUGGUCUGAGAGGAUGACCAGCCACACUGGAACUGAGACACGGUCCAGACUCCUACGGGAGGCAGCAGUGGGGAAUAUUGCACAAUGGGCGCAAGCCUGAUGCAGCCAUGCCGCGUGUGUGAAGAAGGCCUUCGGGUUGUAAAGCACUUUCAGCGGGGAGGAAGGCGUNAGGUUAAUAACCUCAUCGAUUGACGUUACCCGCAGAAGAAGCACCGGCUAACUCCGUGCCAGCAGCCGCGGUAAUACGGAGGGUGCAAGCGUUAAUCGGAAUUACUGGGCGUAAAGCGCACGCAGGCGGUCUGUCAAGUCGGAUGUGAAAUCCCCGGGCUCAACCUGGGAACUGCAUUCGAAACUGGCAGGCUAGAGUCUUGUAGAGGGGGGUAGAAUUCCAGGUGUAGCGGUGAAAUGCGUAGAGAUCUGGAGGAAUACCGGUGGCGAAGGCGGCCCCCUGGACAAAGACUGACGCUCAGGUGCGAAAGCGUGGGGAGCAAACAGGAUUAGAUACCCUGGUAGUCCACGCCGUAAACGAUGUCGAUUUGGAGGUUGUGCCCUUGAGGCGUGGCUUCCGGAGCUAACGCGUUAAAUCGACCGCCUGGGGAGUACGGCCGCAAGGUUAAAACUCAAAUGAAUUGACGGGGGCCCGCACAAGCGGUGGAGCAUGUGGUUUAAUUCGAUGCAACGCGAAGAACCUUACCUGGUCUUGACAUCCACAGAACUUNNCAGAGAUGNNUUGGUGCCUUCGGGAACUGUGAGACAGGUGCUGCAUGGCUGUCGUCAGCUCGUGUUGUGAAAUGUUGGGUUAAGUCCCGCAACGAGCGCAACCCUUAUCCUUUGUUGCCAGCGGUNNGGCCGGGAACUCAAAGGAGACUGCCAGUGAUAAACUGGAGGAAGGUGGGGAUGACGUCAAGUCAUCAUGGCCCUUACGACCAGGGCUACACACGUGCUACAAUGGCAUAUACAAAGAGAAGCGACCUCGCGAGAGCAAGCGGACCUCAUAAAGUAUGUCGUAGUCCGGAUUGGAGUCUGCAACUCGACUCCAUGAAGUCGGAAUCGCUAGUAAUCGUAGAUCAGAAUGCUACGGUGAAUACGUUCCCGGGCCUUGUACACACCGCCCGUCACACCAUGGGAGUGGGUUGCAAAAGAAGUAGGUAGCUUAACCUUCGGGAGGGCGCUUACCACUUUGUGAUUCAUGACUGGGGUGAAGUCGUAACAAGGUAACCGUAGGGGAACCUGCGGUUGGAUCACCUCCUUA
rnacentral:rRNA from 1 species